rnacentral:misc_RNA from 1 species
UACAGAGGGUGCGAGCGUUAAUCGGAUUUACUGGGCGUAAAGCGUGCGUAGGCGGCUUUUUAAGUCGGAUGUGAAAUCCCCGAGCUUAACUUGGGAAUUGCAUUCGAUACUGGGAAGCUAGAGUAUGGGAGAGGAUGGUAGAAUUCCAGGUGUAGCGGUGAAAUGCGUAGAGAUCUGGAGGAAUACCGAUGGCGAAGGCAGCCAUCUGGCCUAAUACUGACGCUGAGGGACGAAAGCUAGGGUCACGAACCGG